AAUUUCUACCAGAAACAUGUUAAAUCAAAAUCAGAAUUACAAUCUAUACUAUUGAAAGUAAAUCUCACCCUUACCUUAGUUCAGAAAAUCGCACGACACACGGUUGAUCUUGGUUCUACUUGUUCUUCUCUCCCCUUGUUCUUGGUUUUCUCUCCCAAAACUUGUUUCACGUAAAACUGCUUCUGACCUUUUCUUUUCCUAACUCCCAAACUAUAACUCCCCUUUUAUUUCAUUAAACUCCCCUUAAUUCUAUUAAAUCCUAAUUAACUCCCUAAUUUCUAAAAUAAUAAUAAUUCCCACUAAUUUUAAUUAUUAUUUUAUUAAACCAUAUAUUAAAAUGCACACACCACAUAAAUCACCAAAAAUCAUAUAAAAUCAUAUAUGAGACUCCAAAUAAUUCAAAAUAAAAUAAAUAACAACUAGGGCGUUACAACUCUCCCCAACUUAGAGGAUUUCGUCCUCGAAAUCUUACCUCAAACAAACAACUCUGGGUACGACUCCCGCAUCUUACUUUCCAGCUCCCAAGUUAAACUUUCUCCAGUCGCUCCACCCCAAACGACUCUCACAAGCGGUAUCUCUUUACCUCUCAAGGAUUUCACCUUCCUAUCAUCAAUUCUCAACGGUAAGGUUUCCACCGUAAGGUUGUCUCUAACUUGCACGUCAUCCCUAGGAAUAAUAUGCGAAGGAUCCGGUACAUACUUCCGCAACUGCGACACGUGGAACACGUCAUGCAAAUUCGAAAGAUGAGGGGGCAAACCCACCCUAUAAGCCACUGUCCCGACUCUCUCAGAUAUCUGAUAUGGGCCAAUAAACUUCGGAGUCAACUUCUUAGAUUUUAAUGCACGGCCUACACCUGUCAUAGGAGUGACUCUCAAGAACACAUGAUCUCCCUCUUGAAACUCAAGGUCCUUCCUACGCUUGUCAUGAUAGCUCUUCUGUCGACUCUGCGACGCUUUCAUCCGUUCUCUUAUUAACUUAACCUUUUCCGUAGUUUGUUGAACUAUGUCUGGUCCCAACAUCACACUUUCUCCCGACUCAAACCAACACAAAGGAGUUCUGCACCUUCGACCAUACAAGGCUUCAAACGGUGCCAUACCAAUACUCGAAUGGUAACUAUUGUUGUAAGUAAACUCUAUCAACGGUAGGUGACUAUCCCAAGCUCCACCUUGCUCAAGUACACACACCCUCAAUAGAUCCUCUAAGGAUUGUAUCGUUCUCUCCGACUGACCAUCUGUCUGAGGAUGAUAAGCCGAACUCAACCUCAAUUUCGAGCCCAAAGCAUCUUGCAAACUCUUCCAGAAUCUAGAAGUGAACCUCGGAUCUCUAUCUGAUACAAUACUCGACGGAACACCAUGCAACUUCACAAUGUCCCGAAUAUAAAUCUCCGCCAACUGAGCCACCGGAAAACUGAUAUUUAUCGGAAUAAAGUGCGCCGACUUCGUCAAUCUAUCGACCACAACCCAUAUAGAAUCAUGUCCUCUCGGAGUAUUAGGUAAACUUGUCACAAAAUCCAUAGAAAUACUAUCCCAUUUCCACUCCGGUACAUCCAAUGGUGUCAACAACCCUGCAGGUUUCUGAUGUUCAACCUUAGACUUCUGGCAAGUCAAACAUGCAUACACAAAUUGAGCAACAUCACGCUUCAAACCAGGCCACCAAAACAGCUUUUUCAAAUCGUGAUACAUCUUCGUAGCUCCCGGAUGGAUACUCAAGCUGCUCUUGUGACUUUCUUCCAAAAUCAACCUUUUCAUCUCAUCGUUGUCUGGAAUGCAAAUUCUGCCUCUGAACUUCAACACACCUUGUUCAUCAACUUUGAAAUCACUAUCCUCAGCUUGAUUACUAUUAACUAUUAAAUCCACAAACUUGACAUCAACCUGUUGCGCUUCUCUGAUACUAUUCAAGAAUUCACUAUUGAUUUUCAUCAUACCCAACUUCUCACUCUGGGGUGACAAUUCGCAAACAAGACUCAAGUCUCUAAACUGUUCAAGCAACUCGAAUUCCUUUACCAUCAUGGCCGACAUGUGUAAUGUCUUCCUACUCAAAGCAUCUGCAACUACAUUGGCUUUACCCGGAUGAUAGUUUAACCCAAAAUCAUAAUCCUUCAAUAGCUCUAACCAUCUCCUCUGCCUCAUGUUCAACUCCUUCUAAUCAGAUAAAUAUUUCAAGCUCUUAUGGUCACUGAACACUUCAAAUCUGGAACCAUACAAGUAGUGCCUCCAAAUCUUUAAAACAAAAACCACCGCAGCCAACUCUAAAUCGUGAGUAGGAUAAUUCUUUUCAUGCACUCUCAGCUGCCUAGAAGCAUACGCUACCACCUUACCAUCUUGCAUCAAAACACCUCCUAGACCCAGCUUAGACGCAUCACAGUAAACAACAAACGGUUCUUCUGGCUUAGGCAAAAUUAAAACAGGCGCAGUUGUCAACUUUCUCUUCAACUCAUUGAAGCUACUCUCACAUUGAGCAUCCCAUACAAAAGACUUACCCUUACAGGUUAACUGAGUCAACGGCAAAGCUAACUUUGAGAAUCCCUCAAUAAACCUGCGGUAAUAACCAGCCAAACCCAAGAAACUUCUGAUCUCUGUCACCGACUUCGGAGUCUCCCAUUGUGAUACUGCAUCAACUUUUGAAGGAUCCACUGCAAUACCACUACCAGAAAUAAUAUGGCCAAGAAAACUCACUUCACUUAACCAAAACUCGCACUUUGACAAUUUGGCAUACAACUUCUUCUCUUUCAAUACUUGCAAUACAAUCCUCAGAUGUUCUGCAUGCUCUUCCUCAGUUCUCGAAUAGAUCAAAAUGUCAUCAAUGAAUACAACCACAAAUUUAUCCAGGUAAGCAUGAAAAAUUCUGUUCAUAUACUCCAUGAACACACCAGGCGCAUUAGUAACACCGAAAGGCAUCACCUUAUAUUCGUAAUGACCAUAUCGUGUCCUAAAGGCAGUCUUCUGCAUGUCCUCAUCUUUCACCUUGAUCUGAUGGUAACCUGACCUCAAGUCAAUUUUACUAAAAAUCUUUGCACCAACCAACUGAUCCAUCAGGUCGUCAAUUCUCGGAAGCGGAUAUCUGUUCUUUAUCGUAACUUUAUUCAACUGACGGUAGUCAAUGCAUAACCUCAUGCUACCAUCCUUCUUCUUUACCAACAACACAGGCGCUCCCCACGGUGAAACACUUGGUCUUACAAACUUCUUGUCGAGUAAGUCCUCCAACUGUUUCUUCAACUCAGCAAGUUCGGAUGCCGACAUACGAUAAGGUGCCAUCGACACCGGCUUCGUUCCUGGCACCAGAUCGAUGGAGAACUCAACCUCCCUUUCUGGUGGUACAUCUGGAAUCUCAUCCGGAAAAACUUCAGGAAACUCGUUCACCACUGGUAACCUGCCAAUCACAGCUUGGUUUUCUAACGACAAAUAUGCCAUUAAAGAAUACAUCAGAAUCCCAUCUCGUUCUAGCUGCUUCAUCUCUUUCGUAGUCAAAAUUUCAACUCCAUUUUCUUCUUCAGCAGAAGAAAAAUGCACCGUCUUACUAAAACAAUUGAUAUGAACUCGGUUAUACUCUAACCAGUUCAUACCAAGGACACAACAACAACAACAAAGACAACAUUAGAGUUGACACUCUAUCCUAGGUGGCUCAACACGACUCUACUACUUGGCCGGACGGACCAACCUGCUCUGAUACCAAUUGUAACACCCCGUUACCCAAAAGUAAUUAAAUAAUUAAACAUACAUCAGAGUAAAUCCCAAACGGGCAUGUCACACUACAUUUUCAAAUUUUUCUUAAAUAGAAAUAUAAAACUAUUUAAUUAAACCUCAAUAAUCUGCAGCGGAAUAUUUGCAUUAAGAGCAACAACAUUAACUGUUUAAUUCUCCAUGAUAAUCCUUGGCAUAAAAGCCUCAACAACAUAAAUUCAACCACUAAAAAGGGCUACAACAACAAGUUUCAAAAUAUGAUACAUAAGGAAUGAAACAUAAAUAAGGUAAACCCAUCCCAAAUGUAUCAGAGCCCUAGACACUUGAGCCACCACCAACUACUCAGGAUCACCUGCAAGUUACCCAUAGGAAGGGCAACAUUUUCAAGCAGAAGGGGUGAGAUUCACAACAAUAAGAUAUAGAUAUUAAAAUUCGUCAAUUGAAUCUAACACCCUAAAUAUAAUCAGUUCAUCAUCUUAUAUGCAUAUGUAUAUAUACUUCAUAAAACAACAUCAUCAUCAUCAAAUCAAUCAUCAUCAUAUAGGUAUAAAUAUAUACUUCAUCAAACAACAUCAUCAUCGUCAAUAUGGCAACUACAACCAACAACACCGACUCAUGCAAAUGACAUGACAACACCGCUAAGACAACACCCUAGACUCCUCAAUAAAUGCAAAUAUGCAUGUGGUACCAUAAUCAGGGCCGUGACCCACACCGCUGUCGAAUGGUUAAAGCAUUCUCAUCAGGACCUAAGUCCUCACCGCUCAACACCGCUUUUGAACAACUAGUGUUCCACCACUUUGAACGACAAGGCGUUCCAGAGCCGAAGCUCUCCCACUUUGAUGUUAUGCAACUACCCAACCUGUGUAUAUCUACAUACAACUCAACAAAUGCAUAUAUAUAUGUAUAUGACUCAACUCUCCAUAACUCCACACUUGUAUGAUUUAAUGAAUGUAAACAUACAACACAGUCAUCAAUAGUUCAUCAUUAAUCAAUCCAACAAUCCAGAAAAAUGCACAAUUUAUCUUAAUCAUGCUCAUACAUCAAGCUCCAUUCAAAACGUUCAAACAGGAUUCAACAACUCAAGGAUAUUAGUAAUCAACAACAUCAAUUAUAUUAGCUUAGAUACAUUGAGAGGCUAUACCCUUAUAGACAACUUCCAUCCCUACCCCAAGGACCACUCAUGAACUCAUUAGACCCUUAUACAACGUUAUAUCUUUCCUAAAAACAUCUCUAUACGUUUAGGAUAAAGUCCCUACACUUAGGAAGAAGUUUGGAAGCAUUUGGAGUGAAGAAAAUUGCAUUUUAGGGUUUAUGGUAAGACAACAUCAGUCAUACUAAAAUUACACAUUUUCUGUCAAAAUCGCCUCAUGAUCACCAGAAUCGCCUCAUGAUUUCGACAGUAUCAGACAUACUAAAAUUACAGAUUUUUCUGUCAAAAUCGCCUCAUGAUUUCUAGAAUCGCCUCAUGAUUUCGACAGUAUCAGACAUGCUGAAAUCACAGAUUUUCUGCGAUUUUCUACCAUGGGAGCCUCCUUGGCUUCAAUUCUCAACCCUAAACUCUCCAAAAUCAUCCAUAAACAUCACCGUAUGAUUACCCUAUCAUUAAAACGUUAACCCAUCACUAACCUACCUGAUUAACAACUCUUUUCACCAUUCAAUUCUAUGGUUUCUACACUUUUUCAUUCAAAAACCAAUAAUCAAAACCUAAUCCCAAAUUUCUCAAUUUCUACCAGAAACAUGUUAAAUCAAAAUCAGAAUUACAAUCUAUACUAUUGAAAGUAAAUCUCACCCUUACCUUAGUUCAGAAAAUCGCACGACACACGGUUGAUCUUGGUUCUACUUGUUCUUCUCUCCCCUUGUUCUUGGUUUUCUCUCCCAAAACUUGUUUCACGUAAAACUACUUCUGACCUUUUCUUUUCCUAACUCCCAAACUAUAACUCCCCUUUUAUUUCAUUAAACUCCCCUUAAUUCUAUUAAAUCCUAAUUAACUCCCUAAUUUCUAAAAUAAUAAUAAUUCCCACUAAUUUUAAUUAUUAUUUUAUUAAACCAUAUAUUAAAAUGCACACACCACAUAAAUCAC
rnacentral:lncRNA from 1 species